GAUGAAUGCUGGCGGCGUGCCUAACACAUGCAAGUCGAGCGGUAAGGCCCUUCGGGGUACACGAGCGGCGGACGGCUGAGUAACGCGUGGGAGUUUGCCCCAAAGUGAGGAAUAACUGCCCGAAAGGGUAGCUAAUGCCGCAUAUGGUCUUCGGAUUAAAGGAUUUAUCCGCUUUGGGAGAAGCCCGCGUUGGAUUAGGUAGUUGGUGAGAUAAAAGCUCACCAAGCCAACGAUCCAUAGCUGGUCUGAGAGGAUGACCAGCCAGACUGGAACUGAGACACGGUCCAGACUCCUACGGGAGGCAGCAGUGAGGAAUCUUCCACAAUGGGCGAAAGCUUGAUGGAGCAACGCCGCGUGCAGGAUGAAGGCCUUCGGGUCGUAAACUGCUUUUAUAAGUGAAGAAUAUGACGGUAGCUUAUGAAUAAGCACCGGCUAUCUACGUGCCAGCAGCCGCCGUAACAC
rnacentral:rRNA from 1 species